rnacentral:rRNA from 1 species
AUUGAACGCUGGCGGCAGGCUUAACACAUGCAAGUCGAACGGUAACAGGAAGCAGCUUGCUUCUUCGCUGACGAGUGGCGGACGGGUGAGUAAUGUCUGGGAAACUGCCUGAUGGAGGGGGAUAACUACUGGAAACGGUAGCUAAUACCGCAUAACGUCGCAAGACCAAAGAGGGGGACCUUCGGGCCUCUUGCCAUCGGAUGUGCCCAGAUGGGAUUAGCUAGUAGGUGGGGUAACGGCUCACCUAGGCGACGAUCCCUAGCUGGUCUGAGAGGAUGACCAGCCACACUGGAACUGAGACACGGUCCAGACUCCUACGGGAGGCAGCAGUGGGGAAUAUUGCACAAUGGGCGCAAGCCUGAUGCAGCCAUGCCGCGUGUAUGAAGAAGGCCUUCGGGUUGUAAAGUACUUUCAGCGGGGAGGAAGGGAGUAAAGUUAAUACCUUUGCUCAUUGACGUUACCCGCAGAAGAAGCACCGGCUAACUCCGUGCCAGCAGCCGCGGUAAUACGGAGGGUGCAAGCGUUAAUCGGAAUUACUGGGCGUAAAGCGCACGCAGGCGGUUUGUUAAGUCAGAUGUGAAAUCCCCGGGCUCAACCUGGGAACUGCAUCUGAUACUGGCAAGCUUGAGUCUCGUAGAGGGGGGUAGAAUUCCAGGUGUAGCGGUGAAAUGCGUAGAGAUCUGGAGGAAUACCGGUGGCGAAGGCGGCCCCCUGGA